rnacentral:rRNA from 1 species
GACGAACCGUGCGAACGUUAUUCGGAAUCACUGGGCUUAAAGCGCGUGUAGGCGGGGUCGGUGCGUCGGCCGCUGAAAUCCCCCGGCUCAACCGGGGAAGGGGCGCCGAUACGACCGGCCUGGAGCGACGUAGGGGAACUGGAACUUCCGGUGGAGCGGUGAAUGCGCAGAUAUCAGGAGGAACACCGGUGGCGAAGGCGGAUCUCUGGCCGUAACUGACGCUGAGGAGCGAAGCAUGGUAGCGAACAGG